GGGGGCGAACUGGUCUCGACGGGGGUAGAUACCCUCGAGAAGCGAGCCGAGGUUUCCUGGGCUCCUCGUUAUCAAAAGUCCAGGAAAAAGAUAAGUGCCAACGAAGAACUUGCUCUUGCAGCUUAAUUAAAAAAGCUGCCGUCCUACCAGAACUUGGCUGGGGUUCUGGUCAGGGCGUGACAUAACCAGCCUAGCGACUUGGGUUUUCCUUCCGCCCAAAGUCGUGAAAAACUAGGAAGGAUAGGGUUUGAAGAGCCUGUCCGUGGGCGCUUCAAACCCGAAAUCUAAAACACGGACUGCGCUCGGAGAAGCUCGAGGGUAUCUACUUUCGGACGCGGGUUCGAUUCCCGCCGCCUCCACCA
rnacentral:tmRNA from 1 species